UCUGUAUGGCAGCACAGCCCUCAGGUGUGUCAGCCACUCCUCCCAGUUUGCCUGCUCAGCAAGUUUGCUGAUGAUACCACUCUGUCCCUUCAUCCGGGUCAUUGAUGAAUAAGUUGUACAGGACUGGCCCCAGAAUCUUAGUUCUAAGGAUUUAACUGGCUUUCAGAUAAAAAAUACAGAGCUGGAGAAAGGAUGUAGAUGGUCUAAUUCACAAGAUCAUAUCUGUACUGCUUAACAAAACACUGUAAUAUUAUAUGCAAGCUAAAUUCUUAACGAGCUUGUUUGGUAUUACAGGUGGUACAAAUGCAUUGGCUUAGCACUCUGUUUACACUAAUUUAUGCCACAUCAUCUGAGGUUCAGGUUAAUUUAAAAGUUAGUUCUGGUAUCUCUGUAAGUGAGCAUUCAGAUGCUAUGCUAUAUAAUUAGAACUACGUUGUAUUCUCAGUUGUGUGUUGUAAAUCUUGGAAGAAAAAUAUUCAAAAUUUAUUCCAGAUUUGUUCCAGAUUUCCAGGAGAAACCUGAAUCUGGAGUAAUGCCUCACUUCUGCAUGGUUAUUUGCAUUUCUUCUAGUGACAUGAUUCUGGGGGGGAUUCCACUGACUGCUCCUUGUGCUCUUUCUCAGCGAGGGGUUUUCCAUCUCCUUUGAAGAUGGAUAACAAUCAGGCCCUCAUCUGAUGCAUUUGUGAUUUGUCCAGUAACACAAGUACUCUGAGCACUAUUUUCUGAUGACGCCAGAUACAUUACUUGUGGAAUACUAAUUGUAACAGAUCUAUUACUAUGCAGGCUUUGGGAAUACCCCGGUUUGCAGCUUGUUUUCUGACAAGGUCAAAUUACUUUCCUGCAAGACUGCGUAAUAUCCUUUUCCUUAGCUGAGAGUUACUGUGUAUUGUGCUGGGGAGGUUUUUUUUAUUAUUAUUAAUGUUUACUUUAAGGUCCUGUAGUUUCUUUUUAAAAGAUCUCUUUGUAAAGUAUUCUGAAAUUUUUAGAGUCUAUUACUUCUGAUUUGAGUUGGAUGAACGUAUGUCGAUAGAGUCAUUAUGCUAAGAGAAUCAACUCUUACACCAAGGAUUCUGUAAUCUGAAAUGGAUUGUUUCUUUUUUCUUCUUCUGUGGGAUGGCUUAGUCUUUUCAUAGUUUUCUUUGGCUUCACUAGUAUAAAAUGAUCAGUGUUAUAUCAGUGUGUGUUGCUUUGAUUAAGACACUAAAGCUACAAUUCAGGCCUCCUACUUGGAUGAUCUGGCAUCACCUGAGACUAGACAAGUUUCUGAAAUUCCUACAGUAUUAUAGAAAGUUACAUAAGAAUUUUGGUUAUUACAAGCAGUCACUGGUGUGUGUUUGUGGUGCCUGACCCUAAAACAUGAGAUUCUGUCGGUCCCAAAACGCAAGUAGCUAAGAGAUACACACAUUCAGUAUUGCUGUAAACAAACAUGUCUGCUACUUCGUUCUUGCGGACUUGCUGCGUAAACUUUCUUUAACCAAUUAACCUGGGUGAUGUAUCAGGUCGUGAUGUGCACAGUCUUCCCCUUUGCAUUCCACUGAAAGAUGCUUUCUGGUUAUUCUGAAAUGAUGUAUGAAUAACAUUAUGUUGUUCUUUCUCCUUACUCUGAACAUAGGCAAUUUCAGAGCAGAGUUUUCAAAUGAGCUGCAUAUCCUGGAUUUCUGUAGUGUAUCUGUAGAGGUAAAAGAUUCCUAGUGUUGGACCUGGUACUCGUUUUAACAUAACAGGUGUUCUUCUGUUAGUGUCUUCCUAAACUUAACUGGGAUGGAGUGAGUAUAUUCCCAAUGUAAAUCACCUCCCUAAGCAUUUAUCAGUGUAUUUUGGUAGAGUUGGCUGGAAAAGCCUGAAUUUACACCCCUUAUGAGAAGGCUAUCAUCUGUGCUGUUGAGCCAUGCUAAGGUAUCAUUUCUGAGUUUUUAAAUGUCAAUCAUUGCAAAGUCAGGUGAUUUGGUUUCAUUGCCUGAGAAAGGUGAAGGAAUAUUUCAGUUUCCUCCCUAACAAGAUGUCAACGCAGCUAUAAAUGUGAUUGAUCAUCUAGUUUUCACAAAGCUUUUUGUGGUAUAAAUACCAACUGUUCAGAGUGGAACUGAAAUUGCUCAGACAUAGUAUACAGGCUCUGACACAUAAUUAGCUGGAUGUCACAGCUCUGAGUUAGAAUUUUCUCAGCUGGUUAACCAGUAACCUAAACAUGAAAGCUUGUAUAUCUGAUUACUGAAACCCUGAGUCAUUUUACCUUUAAUUAAAGCAUGUUACUUUAAUAUAUUCCUUUUGCUUAAAAUUAUAUGGGAAUGAUUUCCUCGAGAAAAAUGCCUGAUGAAUGCACUUCUAUUUAGUAUUUUCUGUAAAUUAGCUAAAUAAAGGGGGAAAGCUUGAAAUAUCUAGGUAUGUCAGGCAGUUGCAGGGGGUGCAUAUGUCAACCUCAAGCAUGAUUUAUCUUAUGUGCCUUUUCUGACAGUUGUAAUUUAACGGCUGUAUAUUCCUCUAGGCUCUCAGAAGGCUAAACAUCUUUUCAAGUUUCUGGCUUUGUGGAGGAAGAGUAAAUGUCUGUUUGGCAGUGUAAUUUUUCUGAGUCAUUCUAGGAGAGGUGUGGAGCAAUUGAAACAUGACUAUUAGCAAAAACAAGUGAAGGACUCUUCCUGAGGGUAGAGUUGUUCUUACCAUAUUUCAGAAAGAAAAGCAGUUUCUCCGUAACAAUUGCUAUUGCUAACUGAAUUGUGCGAUGCUGUGAACUAAACGACCUCCUAUAUUAAGCUGUUGUCUAUUGUGAUAUUCUUUUGCAUUUCAAUUUGAGGUGGAGUUAAAGAGAACAGAGCAAGGAAGGAAGAGGAACACUUCUGCAGUAAGAGCAACUGUAGAUUACCAACACAGUCACCCCUUCACAUAUGCUUAGUGCUUUUUUCUUUUAAAAGUUUAAAGAUAAAGAAGGAAUUGUAAAACUUAAA